CACCAACAUAACCAAGAAAGUAAACUUCAAAUAUGAUAGUUUCUGGAUUUCUUUGUCCUAGCAGCUCAUAAAAAAUAACUAGAAGUAUACCCCUAAAGUGAUAGUUUCAGAAUCUAUCCCUGAAUUUAUUGUCCCAUCUGCCAAUAAAAAACUUGUUGGGCUUACUCCACUCACACGUUCUUUGUGGACUAAGAAGAUCUAUUUGGUCGCAACAAAUAAUACUUUAUGCUACUUCUGCCUGGGCAUUAGUAGCUCUCUUGAAAAUUUGCAUAUCAAGUAGAUAGAAUAUGCUUGGCUGAGGAUUAUGCUUAUUGAUUAUGAGAGAAGUUGUUGUCUUCUUUGGUUAUGACGUGAUAACUGUGUAGCACUAUCUUCCAUAGGUUUCAUCUGCUCUACACAAGUAUUCUCAAUGCACAUGAUUGAGAAGAUGACAUACAUAUCCUGUUUUCUCUUUGGACGUGGAUAAGCUGUGGAUGUCUUUUCCUUGACUCGACAUCAUAUAGGGCUAAACCUUUUGUUACAAGCAACAGACAAGUUUUUUGCACCAAGUGGAAUUAAUUGUAUGAAUCUUUGAAACCAUGGUAUUUUGUACUUUGUAAUCUGAUUCUUAAUAUUCCUCUACAAGAUGAUAAUUGUAAGAGAUCCUAACAGUUGGAACAGAAAUUUUAAUUCAGGUAAGCAUGCUAAAUAUCAUUUAGUGAGAUAAUUGGAAGAUUCCCAAUACUUUUGGAAGUCCACAUCUAUAUCAUUCACGUACAUUUCUCCAAAAACUCAUGACCAAGUGGAAAAUUAUUGUACCUGUGGCGCUCUUGCAGGUGCUGCAGCUGUUGUCUUAAGCUUGCGACCUCUCUUUGGCAAUGCUGGGAACAUCAGAGAAGUAGCAUGACAGAAUACUCAAUGAAUGGGGAGGCAUUACCGUGGUGCAUGUUUUACAAUGAGGAAGUUCUCAAAUCGUUGCAUGGAUUUCAAUGGCGAUAAUGACAGAUGAGGACUGAUGGAAUGGAUGAUCCUAAGACUGAGUAGACUAGUACAACUGCAAGCAGGGUCUGUAAGGUGUCAUUCUGUGGUUUGCAUCUGAAUAUGCACACAGGAUUUAGCUGAAAAUUUUUGGGAACUUCAUAUAAUGGCGGUCUUUCUCAAGAAUGAAGAGCUUUGAAUUGUAAGGUCACAUAUAAUUUCUUUCUCCCCCAUAUCCUUCCUUUGUUCAUGAGAAGGUGCUUAUUUUUUGUGCAGUUUUACAGCUAGAAUACUGAAGUACUAAUGGAAUGACCAAGUUUCCACAGGAUGCUGAUGCCAUUUUUAGUGUAAAAUGAGUCUUUAAGAAAGGGAAAGACAUCUGAAGUUUCUGUGCAAACUUCGUAGAAAAAGAGGUGGGUCGUUUCAGAUUCUUACCUUGAUUUCUGAAGCUGGAUUAAAUAGUUGGUGGCUUUCCUCCCUUAACUCCUUGUAACGUUCUAGCACCGACUGCAUACUGCGAAAUUGAAGUUCAUCUAUACAGAUGGACUAAUGUAUAUUCAUUGUUAUA